AUCGCUUCUCGGCCUUGUGGCUAAGACCAAGUGUAGUAUCUGUUUUUAUCCGUUUAAUAUCUGAUACGUCUUCUAUCUGAGGAUGAUACAUUAAAUGGAUUAUUGGGAACUAGGAAAUGGAAUAGGAGCUCGUUCUGUCUACUCCAUACAUUAACCUGGUAUUGCAGUACUUCCAGGAACAGUGCACCAAAC